GGUCACGUUUCUCUUUAGAUUACACACAGCGUCUUGUGAUGCUGCCUCUGGUCAGCUGAUUUCUCCUUGCCUCAUUCCAACUUCUUUUGUCAGAAAAUUCUUCAAUAUUGCCACAUUCUUUCACAAUAAUAUGGAAUAUUUGUGAAUUGUGCAAGAAGAAUACACUAUGUGGAUUAUUUCUAAAAUCAAAUGUUUGAAAUUAAGGAUGAGUUCUGAGCAUAGAAAGCAGCCUGAAGCCCCAGGAUUCAGGUCCCCAGAUUACGAAGGACUGGACAGGAUUCACCCCUAUACAGAGAAAGAAAAGACUUCUUUGAACUCUUUGAAUAAGAACAGAAUUCCCUUCUACCCUGUUUCUGACUUAAUACUCCAAUAAAAGCUAACCUUUUAACAACAGCAGCUGAUAUUUACAUAAGAUUCACCAUGUAAACAGACUUAAAGAAGGCAACUGCCUGAGACCCCAUUUCAAUGAAGGAAGAAAAUAAGGAAGUCAUGUUUUGAUAAAGCUAUCAGAAUUUAAAUAUAUGUACUAGGAUUCCAUAUCUGUUUUGGUUUAAAGAAAGAAUUUUUAGUUGGAUAAAUCUGACAAGAUUUGAAGAUAAAAACAAAAAAAAAUCUGGAUCUUGUCUUUCUCUUAUAAAGUGCGGUUUCUUCACAUCACUCAGGAAUGUUUAUUCCAACUUAAGGCAGAACAGAAAAUUGAUUAAUGCUGACUGCUUUCCUAUGUCUCUGUACUAUAUUUACCUGAAAUAUAAACCACAAUUUCAAUAAAUGGGUUUGUCUGAUAAUAGCAAAAAAUUGAAUCUCUCUGAAAAUUCUGAAUAAAAUGUAUGUAGUUUGGUUACAUCUCUUUCUUACAGGAAAAUGUACAUAGGUA
rnacentral:lncRNA from 1 species